AAUGAACGCUGGCGGCGCGCCUAAUACAUGCAAGUCGAGCGAGAAGACGUAGCAAUACGUUUGUAAAGCGGCGAACGGGUGAGGAAUACAUGGGUAACCUACCCUAGAGUGGGGAAUAACUAGCCGAAAGGUUAGCUAAUACCGCGUACGCUCCUUGGACUUCGGUUCAGGGAGGAAAGCAAUGCCGAGGGUAUCGCGCUCUUGGAUGGGCUCAUGUCCUAUCAGCUUGUUGGGAGGUAACGGCUCACCAAGGCUUCGACGGGUAGCUGGUCUGAGAGGACGAUCAGCCACACUGGCACUGCGACACGGGCCAGACUCCUACGGGAGGCAGCAGUAAGGAAUAUUGCGCAAUGGGCGAAAGCCUGACGCAGCGACGCCGC
rnacentral:rRNA from 1 species